rnacentral:rRNA from 1 species
UACGAAGGGGCUAGCGUUGCUCGGAAUCACUGGGCGUAAAGGCGCGUAGGCGGCGUUUUAAGUCGGGGGUGAAAGCCUGUGGCUCAACCACAGAAUGGCCUUCGAUACUGGGACGCUUGAGUAUGGUAGAGGUUGGUGGAACUGCGAGUGUAGAGGUGAAAUUCGUAGAUAUUCGCAAGAACACCGGUGGCGAAGGCGGCCAACUGGACCAUUACUGACGCUGAGGCGCGAAAGCGUGGGGAGCAAACAGG